rnacentral:rRNA from 1 species
GAUGAACGCUAGCUACAGGCUUAACACAUGCAAGUCGAGGGGUAACAAGAGAAAAGCUUGCUUUUCUUGUUGACGACCGGCGCACGGGUGAGUAACGCGUAUCCAACCUGCCUAUAACUAGGGAAUAACCUUGCGAAAGUAAGACUAAUACCCUAUGAUUUCCUUUGAUGACAUCAGAUUAGGAAUAAAGAUUUAUAGGUUAUAGAUGGGGAUGCGUCUGAUUAGCUUGUUGGCGGGGUAACGGCCCACCAAGGCAACGAUCAGUAGGGGUUCUGAGAGGAAGGUCCCCACAUUGGAACUGAGCCACGGUCCAAACUCCUACGGGAGGCAGCAGUGAGGAAUAUUGGUCAAUGGGCGGAAGCCUGAACCAGCCAAGUAGCGUGCAGGAUGACGGCCCUAUGGGUUGUAAACUGCUUUUAUACAGGAAUAAAGUUAGCCACGUGUGGUUAUUUGUAGGUACUGUAUGAAUAAGGACCGGCUAAUUCCGUGCCAGCCGCCGCCGUAA